GACGAACGCUGGCGGCGUGCUUAACACAUGCAAGUCGAACGGAAAGGCCCUGCUUUUGUGGGGUGCUCGAGUGGCGAACGGGUGAGUAACACGUGAGUAACCUGCCCUUGACUUUGGGAUAACUUCAGGAAACUGGGGCUAAUACCGGAUAGGAGCUCCUGCUGCAUGGUGGGGGUUGGAAAGUUUCGGCGGUUGGGGAUGGACUGGCGGCUUAUCAGCUUGUUGGUGGGGUAGUGGCUUACCAAGGCUUUGACGGGUAGCCGGCCUUAGAGGGGGACCGGGCACAUUGGGACUGAGAGAGGGACCAGACGGCUACGGGAGGCAGCAGUGGGGAAUAUUGCACAAUGGGCGGAAGCCUGAUGCAGCAACGCCGCGUGCGUGAUGACGGCCUUCGGGUUGUAAACCGCUUUGGACUGUGACGAAGCGUGAGUGACGGUAAUGGGUAAAGAAGCACCGGCUAACUACGUG
rnacentral:rRNA from 1 species